CCUACGGGAGGCAGCAGUGGGGAAUAUUGGGCAAUGGGCGCAAGCCUGACCCAGCAACGCCGCGUGAAGGAAGAAGGCUUUCGGGUUGUAAACUUCUUUUCUCAGGGACGAAGCAAGUGACGGUACCUGAGGAAUAAGCCACGGCUAACUACGUGCCAGCAGCCGCGGUAAUACGUAGGUGGCAAGCGUUAUCCGGAUUUACUGGGUGGAAAGGGCGUGUAGGCGGGACUGCAAGUCAGAUGUGAAAACCAUGGGCUCAACCUAUGGCCUGCAUUUGAAACUGUAGUUCUUGAGUGCUGGAGAGGCAGACGGAAUUCCUAGUGUAGCGGUGGAAUGCGUAGAUAUUAGGAGGAACACCAGUGGCGAAGGCGGUCUGCUGGACAGCAACUGACGCUGAGGCGCGAAAGCGUGGGGAGCAAACAGGAUUAGAUACCCUUGUAGUC
rnacentral:rRNA from 1 species